GAUUGAACUGAAGAGUUUGAUCCUGGCUCAGAUUGAACGCUGGCGGCAUGCCUAACACAUGCAAGUCGAACGGUAACAGGCGGAGCUUGCUCUGCGCUGACGAGUGGCGGACG
rnacentral:rRNA from 1 species